rnacentral:rRNA from 1 species
GAUGAACGCUGGCGGCGUGCUUAACACAUGCAAGUCGAACGGAGUGCCUUUGAAAGAGGAUUCGUCCAAUUGAUAAGGUUACUUAGUGGCGGACGGGUGAGUAACGCGUGAGGAACCUGCCUUGGAGUGGGGAAUAACACAGUGAAAAUUGUGCUAAUACCGCAUAAUGCAGUUGGGUCGCAUGACUCUGACUGCCAAAGAUUUAUCGCUCUGAGAUGGCCUCGCGUCUGAUUGGCUAGUUGGUGGGGUAACGGCCCACCAAGGCGACGAUCAGUAGCCGGACUGAGAGGUUGGCCGGCCACAUUGGGACUGAGACACGGCCCAGACUCCUACGGGAGGCAGCAGUGGGGAAUAUUGGGCAAUGGGCGCAAGCCUGACCCAGCAACGCCGCGUGAAGGAAGAAGGCUUUCGGGUUGUAAACUUCUUUUCUUAGGGACGAAGCAAGUGACG